rnacentral:ribozyme from 1 species
AGGUAGCCGCCGAAUAAACAGACAAGCAAGCGAGCACCAAUGCAUGAAAGAAAAAGAAAAAACUAAAAAAUGAAAAACUAGUUA